rnacentral:rRNA from 1 species
CAAAAACAUCGCCUCCCGCAAAAAAUCAAUAUAUAGGAGGUCUUGCCUGCCCAGUGACUAUAAGUUAAACGGCCGCGGUAUUUUGACCGUGCAAAGGUAGCGCAAUCACUUGUCUUUUAAAUGAAGACCUGUAUGAAUGGUGAAACGAGGGCUUAACUGUCUCCCCACUCUAGUCAAUGAAAUUGAUCUACCCGUGCAGAAGCGGGUAUACUAAUACAAGACGAGAAGACCCUUUGGAGCUUAAGACAAAAAACCAACUACGUCAAAAGUCCUAAAAACUAAACCAAAUAGCACUGGUUUCAAUCUUCGGUUGGGGCGACCGCGGGAGAAAGCAAAGCUCCCAUGCGGACCGGGCUAAACCCCCUAAAACUAAGAGAGACAUCUCCAAGGCACAGAACAUCUGACCAAAAAGAUCCGGCUUCAUGCCGACCAACGGACCAAGUUACCCUAGGGAUAACAGCGCAAUCCCCUUCCAGAGUCCAUAUCGACAAGGGGGUUUACGACCUCGAUGUUGGAUCAGGACAUCCUAAUGGUGCAGCCGCUAUUAAGGGUUC